rnacentral:misc_RNA from 1 species
GUAUAAAUUUAUAAGGCUUUAACACCUAUUGACUACAUUCUAUAACAUGCAUUGGGUAUAUGAAGAAACAUAGGCCUGAAAAUGUAAGGAAAUGACAGAAAAGUCAAUCCUCAAAACCUGAAUGCCUUUAAAGAGCACUCAGAAAGAUAUUCAGGUCUACAAAGGUGCACAGGUGAAGAUAUAAAGAUGACAAGCGUGCACAUGUUCCCUGGAGAACCAGCAACAGCUCAUCAGGUUUAUUUCAAUAAUGAUCCUUCCGCAGGUUCACCUACGGAAA